GUUUAGGUAUUGUAGGGUUAGGUGUUGUAGGUUUAGGUGUUGUAGGGUUUAGGUGUUGUGGGUUUAUGUGUUGUAGGUUUAUGUGUUGUAGGUUUAGGUGUUGUAGGUUUAGGUGUUGUAGGUUUAGGUGUUGUAGGUUUAUGCAUUGUGGGUUUAGGUGUUAUAGGGUUAGCUGUUGUAGGUGUAUGCGUUGUGGGUUUAGUUGUUGUAGGUGUAUGCGUUGUGGGGUUUAGCUGUUGUAGGUGUAUGCGUUGUGGGUUUAGUUGUUGUAGGUGUAUGCGUUGUGGGGUUUAGUUGUUGUAGGUGUAUGCGUUGUGGGUUUAGGUGUUGUAGGGUUUAGCUGUUGUAGGUGUAUGCGUUGUGGGUUUAGUUGUCGUAGGUGUAUGCGUUGUGGGGUUUAGUUGUUGUAGGUGUAUGUGUUGUGGGUUUAGUUGUUGUAGGUGUAUGCGUUGUGGGUUUAGUUGUUGUAGGUGUAUGCGUUGUGGGUUUAGCUGUUGUAGGUUUAGGUGUUGUAGGGUUUAGCUGUUGUAGGUUUAUGCGUUGUGGGUUUAGCUGUUGUAGGUGUAUGCGUUGUGGGUUUAGCUGUUGUAGGGUUUAGGUGUUGUGGGUUUAGGUGUUGUAGGUUUAGCUGUUGUAGGGUUUAGGUGUUGUAGGGUUUAGGUGUUGUGGGUUUAGCUGUUGUAGGUUUAUGCGUUGUGGGGUUUAGCUGUUGUAGGUGUAUGCGUUGUGGGUUUAGCUGUUGUAGGGUUUAGGUGUUGUGGGUUUAGCUGUUGUAGGUUUAGGUGUUGUAGGGUUUAGCUGUUGUAGGUUUAGGUGUUGUAGGGUUUAGCUGUUGUAGGUUUAGGUGUUGUGGGGUUUAGCUGUUGUAGGGUUUAGGUGUUGUAGGUUUAGCUGUUGUAGGUGUAUGCGUUGUAGGGUUUAGCUGUUGUAGGUUUAUGCGUUGUAGGGUUUAGCUGUUGUAGGUGUAUGCGUUGCGGGUUUAGCUGUUGCAGACUUUGUGGGCAGCAGCAGCAGAGUGCAGUGUCCCCAUCGGCGAUGCUCAAUCCACUGCUGGAUGGAGGCCUCCUGGAACCACCGCCACCUCCACCGCCGCCACCUCGCGACCCUGCGAUGUCAACGGGUCCACGCGACUCGGAUUCCAUCGCUCCAUCUCCCAGCGGUGGGAGCCGACUUCCACCAGAACGCAAAUUCCGUUCCUUUGAGAUGAAAAAAAUGCCAACUCUCAAUAUUUACGCGAUCAAACCCAAACAAAAAUUACGGAUGAUAUUAUUUGGGUCUUUCGGUAAAGUCAACGUAGAUAAUUAAAUACAAUUAAUUUUUGUAUUA